rnacentral:lncRNA from 1 species
UAGAUGCAAAAGUGUGCCUGCAGCUCUGUGGGCCCCUUUCUGCUCUCUGCAGCUGAUCACCUCUGGGGACAGGAGAAUUGGAUGACCUUAGAGAAAGCUCCCUUGUACUCUUGUGCUUUGAACAUUUUUUUCCCAUGUAUGUCCUCAAGUUGCCUAUGCAUCUUGUAAAGUGCAGGUCUUUGGGAUCCAUUCUAAAGCUGAAAUUUCCAAAAUGGAGCCUUUCCUAU